rnacentral:rRNA from 1 species
UACGUAGGGGGCAAGCGUUGUCCGGAUUUAUUGGGCGUAAAGCGCGCGCAGGCGGCCUGACGAGCCCGGCGUGAAAGCCCCCGGCUCAACCGGGGGAGGUCGUCGGGGACCGCCAGGCUGGAGGCCGGUAGGGGAGAGCGGAAUUCCCGGUGUAGUGGUGGAAUGCGUAGAUAUCGGGAGGAACACCAGUGGCGAAGGCGGCUCUCUGGACCGGUCCUGACGCUCAGGCGCGAAAGCGUGGGGAGCGAUCCGG